rnacentral:rRNA from 1 species
GACUGGGGCGGCCGCCUCCUAAAAGGUAACGGGGGGGCUCAAAGGGUCCCCCAGAAUGGGUGGAAAACAUUCAUAGAGGGGUAAGGCAUAAGGGAGGUUGACCGCGAGACCUACAAGUCGGGCAGGGGCGAAAGAGGGGCUGAGUGAGCCGGUGGGUCCGCAUGGCAGGGCCAUCGCCCUAAGGAUUAAAGCGACCCCGGGGA